rnacentral:lncRNA from 1 species
ACGCUUGCGGCGAGACUCUCCUGCGGGAGCGGGAGGCUUGGGCCUCUCAGGAGGGCACAGGUACGGGGCGCGGGGCGACAGAGGCAGAAACCCAGGCAGCCCCAGACGGCGAGCAGGGCGGGAGAGUGGAAGGGAGGGAGAAGACGGAGAAACAGCGACUGCGACGGGCACAGAGGGAGGACAGAAACGCUGCCCCUUAGGUGGGGAGUGAAACCUCCCGUGAGGGAGCGGCGAGGGCGGCGGGGACGGUGAGAAACGGACAGAGGAGCCCGCGGGAGACAGAAACGGAGGGAAGGGGGCUGACCAUGAGAGAAACGAGGGGGAGAGAGAAGAGAGCACGCGGGAGACUGCAGGGAAGGCGCGGGAGAUGGAGACUCAGAAAACAACCGUAAGAGACAAAGGAAAAGAUACCACAGCGCUGGGCCUGGGGAGAGAACGCAGUGAGAAAUGGAGACGAUGAGAGUAUGAGGUGAUAUAGCAAAACCGACCGUGAAAAAUCGAGUGAGAAGCAGGUGGCGAAGCUGAGAACUGAAAGUGAAAGACAAGAGGACGGAAGAUACAGAAACAGUUUGGGCCCAGUGGCUCCCGCCUGCAAUUCCAGCACUUUGGGAGGCCGCAGCAAGCCGAUGACUUGAGCCCAAGAGUUUGAGACCAGCCUGGGCAACAUAGUGAGAACCCAUCUCGACAAAAAAUCAGGCCGGGAGCAGUGGCUCACCCCUGUAAUCCCAGCACUUUGGGAGGCCGAGGCAGGCGGAUCACGAGGUCAGGAAUUUGAGACCAGCCUGGCCAACAUGGUGAAACCCGUCUCUACUAAAAAUACAAAAAUUAGCCGGGAGUGGUGGCACACGCCUGUAAUCCCAGCUAUUCAGGAGGCUGAGGCAGGAGAAUCACUUGAACCCGGGAGGUGGAGGUUGCAGUGAGCCGAGACCACGCCACUGCACUCCAGCCUGGGCAACACAGCAAGACUCUGUCUCAAAAAAAAAAAUUAGCCAGGCAUGGUGGUGUGCAUCUGUAAUCCCAGCUAUUCAGGAGGCUGAGGUCGGAGGAUCACCUGAGCCUGGGAGUUCAAGGCUGCAGUGAACUGAGAUCGCACCACUGCACUUCAGCCUGGGCAACAGAGCAAGAUCCUGUCUCAAAAAAGAGAGAGAGAAAUUUACCAUGAAAAAUGGAGUGAGAAACAGAGGUGGUGAAGGUGAGAUCUGAAAGAAAAGUGAAAGACUGAGGGGGAAAGACAGAUAAAUUGACCAGGAAAAACUAGGUGAGAAACAGAGAUGAGAGUGUGAGACUGAUAAUGAAACAAAAAGACAGAAGGACAAGGGAGAAAAAAAUAAAGAGAAACUGACCACGAAAACUGGAGUGAGAAAUAGAUGUAAUGAGGGUGAGAAAUUGAAAAAGAAAGACAGGGAAAAAGAAAUGAUGGGAAUAUGAAACUGACAACGAAAGAAAAAAAAUGAGAAAGAUGGUGAGAGAGAGCAAAAGAAAUUACCAUGAAAAAAAUACGGCAUAAAGACGAGUGUGAGAAAUUGAAAAUGAAAGGCAAAAAGAGAUUGGCACAGAGAAGAAAAGAUAGAGAAUUUGAUCAUGGAAAAUGAAGUGAGGCCAGGCAUGGUGGCUCACACUUAUAAACCCAGACAUAAGCCCAGCACUUUGAGAGAGUGAGACAGGAGGAUCGCCUGAGCUCAGGAGUUUGAGACCAGCCUGGGCAACAUAGUGAGCCCGUCUCUACAAAAAUUAAAAAUGAGCCGGGUGUGGUGGCGCACAUCUGUAGUCCCACCUUUUCAGGAAGCUGAGGCAGGAGGAUCGCUUGGGCCCGGGCAGUCAAGGCUGCAGUGAGCUGAGAUCACACCACUGCACUCCAUCCUGGGCAAUACAGAGAUAGAGAUGAUGAGGGUGAGAAAUGGAUAAUGAAAAAAAGAGACCAACAGCAAGUGAGAAACAGGAGCAGAGAUGGAUUCGCAGGGAUCCUGAGAGAUGGGGAUACAAGGAAGACAGGCAAAGAAAAAGGCAGAAGAAUGUGGUGACAGUGAUGUGGGGGCCAAAGCGGGGCGUGGUCCCAGGUGUGGAAGGAGCUGCAGCAGCAAGACAGAGGCCAUAGAGCAGAGGGGGAUGGAGCUGUGGCCCUGGAGGCUGAUUCUGCUGGCCAGAGGGAGGGGAUGGCCAGGGUAAGGAGAGAAGCUGCACUCCAGGAGUCCCCACCUCUGAGCCAUACCAGGCCCGGACCAGAGCGUGAGCUUCAAGAAUGGAGGUCCUUGCUGCUGCUCUUCCCUCCCCUUUUGGAAUCUUCUGGAGCAACUCUGGGAUCUCCCCACCCCGACCCCUCAUACCCAGUUCUUUAGAGUCGACCAUGGUGCCGUCACCUGGCCCCACCCUGACUCCAUUCUCCUGGCCACCCCCGACAACCCCACCACCGCCGCCAUGCCCUGGUACCAGUGCAGAACACUGGCAGUCACACUUGCAGAGGGCUUGGUGGCCAGCUCUCCCGGGAGCCAGGCAUCCCGAUCUCUCCCCAGUCCAGGAAUCCAGCUCCAGCUGAAGGGGUCUGAGAUGGAGUCCAGGCCUGGGGGCCCUGGAAGGUGAGUGGGGCAGGAAGAGAAGACAGAGACACCAUGAUGACAAGAUCAUCUACCCAGGCCCCUCCUUCUCUCCAGUCACUCACCCAGUUCCCAUUCAUUCAUCAUUCAUUCAUUUAUUGUCACAAAUAUUUAUUGAGCACCUCCUAUGAGCCACACACCAUAUUAGACCCUCGGGUAGCCUAUGGCAAGCCAAACCCGACACUGCCCCCGCCUUCUUGGCAUUUACAAUCUGGACAUAACUGACCCCCUCACCCUUUCACACCUGACCUCUCCUCUCCAUCUCCUCAGCUUCUGCUCUGAGUCAGGGCCUCAUUUCCUAUACCUUCUGACAGGUCUCCCUACCUCCCUGUCAAUUCUUACUGACCACCAGUGGGGUACCCAGGUCCGACAGGCCACUCCCGAACUCAGAAUCCUUCUGUGGUGCCCCCGUGGCCCUCAGGAAGACGGGGACAGAGGGAAGAGCCGUAGCUUCCAGCAGAGGUGAUGCCUCCAUCCUUUGAGACACCACUCUCCAUCUUCCAUCUUUCUGAUUAGCACACGUGUGCAGUAAAGGAUUAACCCUGCCCAAAGAAAGGUUUCGCCUUUUCCCCGGCUCCUGGGAGAUGACUUCGAAGCCUUUGGAACACCUUGCCUGAUAAGAGAUUUUUUUCCCUGGGGCACUUGGGCCAUGCCAGAUCGCCUAUGCUAACAGUGUGAUUUAUGGUCAGCCACAUGUACGUGGCCAAGUCCCCACGAACACUCUGGAUGCCAAGGCUUGGGGGAACUUCCCUAGUUGGCAGUUCCUCAUGUGUGUUGUCCCACUUCGUUGCUGGGAUAAUGAAGUGCUGUCUGCAUAACUCCACUGGGACAGGACAGUUGGAAGCUCACACCUACUGUCUCCUGAGCCCUGCCUCAGGCGCCUCUUCCCUUGGCUGAUUUUAAUCUGUAUCCUUUCACUGUGAUAAACGAUAACGCUGAGUGUAACAGAUUCUUUGAUUCUAAGAGUUCUUCUAGCAAAUUAUUGAGUCUGACAGUGGUCUUGGUAACCUCAAACUAUAACGAGUCACACAGGUUUGCAAUGAUUUGUUAGAGUAUUUCUCUACAUGAGCUGUGAGCUAUUCAAAGACCAAGACCAUGUUCAUUCCAUUCAUGAGCCCAGCAUGAGGACCCUGCACCUGGCUCAGCCUCUGCAAUUUAAUAACAGGCAUUGCCUGAGUUUAUGUUAACUGGCUCUCACUUUGGCUUCUUUCCAUCUCCCAGUGCCCUGCCUGCUUCCUUUCAUCGUAGGAAAGCUAAAGCUCCUUUCUUAGUGGGAAAUUUCCUUGAUUCCUGGAAGGAAGAGGAAGCAGAAGCUUCUCUGAGUGGGAAUCCCAGAUCUGCCAGUUAGUUGUUGCUGUGUGAUCUUGAGCAAGUUACCCAACCUCUCUGUGCCUCAGCUUCUUUAUCAGUAAAAUGGGCAUAACACACACCACCCUAGACUUAUUAUGUGAUUUCAAUGUGGUUAUAUGUGCAAAAACACCCAGCACAGGGCUGGGGCUUAGGAAGCACUCAAUCAAUGUUAGUGCCCAUGUUAGUUACUGUUCCCCUCCAGGAAGCCCUCCUGGAGUCAACAGAUAGCUAGGGCCUCCUUACCAGUGCAGGUGACCCCAACAUCCUCAUUGUGAGCGCAGUUGUGCUUUCCCCAGGGAGCAGCAGGGCAGUCGGACAGUGAAGCCUCGGUCCCCACACA